GUGCUCACACAGAUUGUCUGAUGAAAUGAACAAGAGUUCGAUAGCGUCUUGCGAAGCUGACAAGAGAUGUCCCCUUCGUCUAGAGGCCCAGGACACCGCCCUUUCACGGCGGUAACAGGGGUUCGAAUCCCCUAGGGGACGCCAUUGAACGGACGGUGAGUGAAAGGCACGGUCAACAGUAACCUAAAACUGAUUAGCGAUAGUCAGGUUUAUGUUAUUUGCUCUUUAACAAUCUGGAACAAGCUGAAAAUUGAAACGACGACAUAGGAAUGAGAAUUCAUGUGUUGUUCGAGUCUCUCAAAACUCAUGCCCGAGACACUUUCGGGUUGUGAGGUUAAGCGACUAAGCGUACACGGUGGAUGCCUAGGCAGUCAGAGGCGAUGAAGGGCGUGCUAAUCUGCGAUAAGCGUCGG
rnacentral:misc_RNA from 1 species